AAGUAACCAUGGACGCACUCAGUAAUUUUUGGUUCACUUCCAGGGAGCAUUGGCACCAGGUAGACACAGAGGAGGUGAGGAAAGAAAAGAAUCAACAGACAAAAGAAAACUGAUAUCAGUUCCAACAAACCUGCAAAUUCAUUAUACCUGUAAACCUCUUUUUGUCAGCAGUAAACCUAGAAGGAUACAUGAUUUUUACUGACUGAAACUAGUUAACUGAAGACAACAUGGUUGCUGGACCCACACAAGAGAAAC